UGAGAUUGAUUCUGUCUUUGUGAAUUAAUUGGCUGUUGAAUAAUAUUAAAUAUAAAUUUUUGUGGGAUUAAAAUUGUUUUAUCUUAAAGGUAAGUUUUAAAUUGAUGUAAUUGUAGUUUUUUAUUUUAAAUAUUACGUAAUUGUAGAUUUAGUUAAUUUAUUGUCAGGGUUGUUGAAGGUUGUGCCAGCAUAUGCGGUUAUACACCCGACUCAAGUUAAUUUUAUUGGUUUGUAAGUAUUAAUUUUUAAUUUUGAAGAUUAAAUUUUGUAAAAUUAUAAGGUGAAAUUUUUAAUUGGAGAUAUAUUCUUUAGGUUUAAGAUUAUAAUAAAUUUAGGAUUCAUAAACUAGGAUUAGAUACCCUAUUAUUCUAAAUGUAAAAUUUUAACCAUAGUACUAAUAGUUAUGAUCUUUAAAUGAAAAGAAUUUGGCGGUAAUUUAGUCUUUUCAGAGGAACCUGUUCUGUAAUCGAUAAUCCACGAGGUAUUUAACUUUAAUUUUUAAUUUGUAUAUCUCUGUCAUUGAAUGUUUUAUUAGAAUAUUUUCUUUAAUCAUUAAUUUGGUUAAUGUCAGGUCAAGGUGCAAUUAUAUUAAAGGUUGAAAUGGGUUACAUUUAAUGUUAAUUAAUUGGAUUAUUAAUAUUGUAAAUUUGUAAUAUUAUGAAAAAGGAUUUGAAAGUAAUUUUUAUUAUCUUAUAAUAAUGAUUUUAGCUCUAAAUUAUGCACACAUCGCCCGUCGUUCUCAUUAUUAAGAUGAGACAAGUCGUAACAAAGUAAUUUUACUGGAAAGUGA
rnacentral:ncRNA from 1 species